rnacentral:rRNA from 1 species
ACGGGGUGCAGCAGGGGCGAAACCUCCGCAAUACACGAAAGUGUGACGGGGUUACCCAAAGUGUUCAAUUUUGAACUGUGGUAGGUGAGUAAUGUUCCCUACUAGAAAGGAGAGGGCAAGGCUGGUGCCAGCCGCCGCGGUAAAACCAGCUCUUCAAGUGGUCGGGAUAAUUAUUGGGCUUAAAGUGUCCGUAGCCGGUUUAGUAAGUUCCUGGUAAAAUCGGGUAGCUUAACUAUCUGUAUGCUAGGAAUACUGCUAAACUAGAGGGCGGGAGAGGUCUGAGGUACUACAGGGGUAGGGGUGAAAUCUUAUAAUCCUUGUAGGACCACCAGUGGCGAAGGCGUCAGACUGGAACGUGCCUGACGGUGAGGGACGAAAGCCAGGGGAGCGAACCGGAUUAGAUACCCGGGUAGUCCUGGCCGUAAACGAUGCAUACUAGGUGAUGGCGUGGCCAUGAGCCGUGUCAGUGCCGUAGGGAAACCGUUAAGUGUGCCGCCUGGGAAGUACGGUCGCAAGGCUAAAACUUAAAGGAAUUGGCGGGGGAGCAC